UUCAGUAUAUGAUCAACAUGAUUUAAGAAUCAGUCCCAGAAUCAUAUAAGUUUAGGAGUGCAGACUACUUUACAAGGAGAUUCAUACCAGAAUCCAUAUAGAGCAAAUAGACUACAUAGAAGGGGUAACAUGCUCAUACUGAUCCUAAGGAAGGGGAGUACAUAACAUGCUAAUCAUGUAAACAUAUUAACUACAGGCUUCACAGCAAAACCUUAAGUAAAAGUAAACUAGAAACAUGAUGAAUUAAAGAAAUAAAAGGACCACAUUGCUUUUGGAACUUGAAUUAAAAUUAGAACAUACCAGUAAAGAAGGUAUUAAACAUAAAGUGAGAAGCAAGAGAGAACAAUCAGUAGCCUUGUCUUACAUCUAGCUAAUUCAAAUGGUAGCAAGUAACAAAGAAAGAAAGCAUAAAGCUUUUAGAGUGAGAGAGAGUUUUUUGGAACCAAUGUGUUUAUGUGUUUGUGUUAAUGAGAGAGUGUGUAUAUAUAGUAGUUCAAAAAUUAGGUAAAAUAAGGCAAGAAUAAUAUUAGUAUAGUAAUUAUGGAACCAAGUACUAAUAAGAAUCAAACCAAUGCAAGUACCCCUUUAAUUAAGGGGUAAUCAAUCAAUGGUAAUAGGCAGAAAUAAUUAAGGAAAGAAAACAAGUAGAGCAUAAUGUAUAAAAUAACAAUUAGGGGUAGGUAGAAAGGGG
rnacentral:lncRNA from 1 species